UCUGGUUGAUCCUGCCAGUCUACAAAGCUUGACUUGGAAAUUAAGCCAUGCAUGUCUAAGUAUAAGUUACACAAAGCGAAACUGCGAAUGGCUCAUUACAACAGUUGUAAUUUAUUUGAUGAUUUUCUUACAUGGAUAACCGUGGGAAACUAGGGCUAAUACAUGCGUAAGGCCUCCCGGCCGUAUUUAUUAGUUUCAAACCAAUGCGGCGCAAGUCGCUUUGUGAGGAAUCAAGAUAACUGAUCGAAGCCAAUCUUUUGGCUAAAUCAUUCGAGCUUCUGACCUAUCAGCUUGUUGUUAGUGUAUUGGACUAACAAGGCGGUAACAGGUAACGGAGAAUUGGGGUUCGAUUCCGGAGAGUCAGCCUGAGAAACGGCUGACAUUUCUACGGAAGGCAGCAGGCGUGAAAAUUACCCAAUCACAAUUCGUGGAGGUAGUUAAUAGACAUAACAGUCCCGGCCUUUUAGGUAUGGGAAUGUAAUGAGCUCAGUCUAGACAGCUGGGCGAAAUCCAUUGGAGGGCAAGUCUGGUGCCAGCAGCCGCGGUAAUUCCAGCUCCAAUAGCUUUGUUGAAAGUUGCUGCAGUUAAAAAGCUCGUAGUUGAAUAUCCGGCGUCUCUGACGUCUGCCCGAAUUGGCUGUAGAUAUCGAAAGAUUUUUACUGAUCGAUCUGGCGUUUACUGUGAACAAAUUAGCGUGCUCAAAACAGGCUUUUGCUUGAAUUUUCUAGCAUGGAAUAAUAAAAUACGACUUCGCUCAUUUUAUUGGUUCUUGGACGAAGUAAUGGUUAACAGGAACAGUUGGGGGCAUUCGUACUUAAAAGUCAGAGGUGAAAUUCUUAGAUUUUUUAAAGACGAACUAAUGCGAAGGCAUUUGCCAAGGAUGUUUUCAUUAAUCAAGAACGAAAGCGUUGGGAUCAAAAAGGAUCAGAUACCCUUGUAGUCAACGCCGUAAACGAUACUGACUAGGGAUUGGUGAGGCGAACCCUCAUCAGCACCUAAUGAGAAAUCAAAGUCUUUGAGUUCUGGGGAGAGUAUGGUCGCAAGGCUGAAACUUAAAGGAAUUGACGGAAAGAUACACAAGUCGUGGAUUCUGCGGCUUAAUUUGAUUCAACACGGGAAAACUUACGCAGGCAAAAAGCUAAAAGGAUUGACAGCUUGAUAGCACUUUCUUGAUAUGGCAGCGAGUGGUGCAUGGCC
rnacentral:rRNA from 1 species